GAGCUUUGAAUGCCUAGCGGAAGAGAGUAGUUGAGCACGAAAUCACUUGGGAAGCUUGAAGGCACUUGAUUUCUUCACUUAAAUGCACUAACUCUCUUAAACCUCUUUUUCUUUCUUCUCUCUUGAAUGAUCUUGUGUUGGGUUGGUGAGAAGUUGUUGGAAAGCACUUAAGAGCUCCCUUUUAUAGCCCAAAAAGCAAAUAUAGCCGUUAGAGAUAAAGUUAAGAGAGUUUGAAAUUCAAACCAAACCUGAAAAAGUUGUCAGUCGCGUCCCAGGCGCUUCGGAGACGUCUCCGCUUCAACGCGAGACGUCU
rnacentral:lncRNA from 1 species